rnacentral:rRNA from 1 species
GGAAGGGGAGUGAAAUAGAACCUGAAACCGUGUGCUUACAAGUAGUCAGAGCCCGUUAAUGGGUGAUGGCGUGCCUUUUGUAGAAUGAACCGGCGAGUUACGAUUUGAUGCAAGGUUAAGCAGUAAAUGUGGAGCCGUAGCGAAAGCGAGUCUGAAUAGGGCGUUUAGUAUUUGGUCGUAGACCCGAAACCAGGUGAUCUACCCUUGGUCAGGUUGAAGUUCAGGUAACACUGAAUGGAGGACCGAACCGACUUACGUUGAAAAGUGAGCGGAUGAACUGAGGGUAGCGGAGAAAUUCCAAUCGAACCUGGAGAUAGCUGGUUCUCUCCGAAAUAGCUUUAGGGCUAGCCUCAAGUGAUGAUUAUUGGAGGUAGAGCACUGUUUGGACGAGGGGCCCCUCUCGGGUUACCGAAUUCAGACAAACUCCGAAUGCCAAUUAAUUUAACUUGGGAGUCAGAACAUGGGUGAUAAGGUCCGUGUUCGAAAGGGAAACAGCCCAGACCACCAGCUAAGGUCCCAAAAUAUAUGUUAAGUGGAAAAGGAUGUGGCGUUGCCCAGACAACUAGGAUGUUGGCUUAGAAGCAGCCAUCAUUUAAAGAGUGCGUAAUAGCUCACUAGUCGAGUGACACUGCGCCGAAAAUGUACCGGGGCUAAACAUAUUACCGAAGCUGUGGAUUGUCCUUUGGACAAUGGUAGGAGAGCGUUCUAAGGGCGUUGAAGCAUGAUCGUAAGGACAUGUGGAGCGCUUAGAAGUGAGAAUGCCGGUGUGAGUAGCGAAAGACGGGUGAGAAUCCCGUCCACCGAUUGACUAAGGUUUCCAGAGGAAGGCUCGUCCGCUCUGGGUUAGUCGGGUCCUAAGCUGAGGCCGACAGGCGUAGGCGAUGGAUAACAGGUUGAUAUUCCUGUACCACCUAUAAUCGUUUUAAUCGAUGGGGGGACGCAGUAGGAUAGGCGAAGCGUGCGAUUGGAUUGCACGUCUAAGCAGUAAGGCUGAGUAUUAGGCAAAUCCGGUACUCGUUAAGGCUGAGC